UUUGCCUUCGCUUUGCAGGAAAGAACAAAUAGUGUGUUUAGGUAUUGAAAAAGUUUAUUGAAAACACAGUACUAGGAGUUGGGGACACAAUGGUGAGCAAAACACGGUUCCUCGGGAAGCUUACAUAGUUGGAGGAGAUGUCAUCACAAAUGUAAAACUGUGAGACAAACCCCACACAUGACAGGAUUUGACCAAAUCAGGGAAACCUGAGAACACAGCGUUGAGACUAAAGGGUAGGUAUCACUUUUGCAAGGCAAAGUUGGGGGCAUGGCAUAUGCAGAGUACUUGGGCUAGAAAAAGGAUAUGACUGCAUGUCGGGAUUUGUGACAGUUGUAGCUGCUUUCCCUACAAAGUACCCUCAUUUAGACAAGAGUGCUUAAUAAGGCUUGUAAGAUGGCCAUUCUGGGAACUCAGUGUUACAAAAUGAGGCUGAACAGGUAAGAGGCCAGACCACUCACAGCUCUGUUUAAAGCAAGGGGAAAUCUGGUAGUUCACAUUUGCAAGAAAAGGGAUGCAGGUAAGCCAAUUGGAAGUGACUGCAGUUGUCUAGGCAAGACAUGACCAUCUUGGACCAGUGUGGUGAUUAGGAGAUGAAUUGAGGACGUUGGCUGUAGAUAAUCCUUGCAAGAAAUUCAGAAUGAGAGAUGGUAGCUGGAGAGGGAUUUAUGGUUGUGAAAGUUGGUUGGCUUAUUUUAGAUGGCAGUCUUAAGUUUAAAACCAAGUGGUAAGGAUCUAGCUGAGAGGAAGAGAUUGAAUAUAUUAAUACAGGGAACAGCAGGGACAAGAAAACUGAAGGAGAUAGGGUCCACAGUACAGGUAGAGGGACAGGAGGAAAGGAUUAGGGUUGAUGGCAGCCAAGUAGCGGUUGGUUUGUGGUAAGGGGAAGAUGAAAGAUGUCCUGCAUGAGUAUUUCUGUUUUCCCUGUAAAGUAGACUGCAAAGGCAUCUGCAGAGAGGAAAGGUCUGCAGUAGGGGAGAGUUAAGAGCCACGCAGGAUGGAGGGACCAUUUCAGGUUGAAGGUCAUGAAUUUAUAAGCUGAGGUCAAAUGAAAUCCACACAC